CCUACGGGGGGCAGCAGUGGGGAAUAUUGGACAAUGGGGGCAACCCUGAUCCAGCCAUGCCGCGUGUGUGAAGAAGGCCCUCGGGUUGUAAAGCACUUUCAGUGAGGAAGAACGCCUGGUGGUUAAUACCCAUCAGGAAAGACAUCACUCACAGAAGAAGCACCGGCUAACUCCGUGCCAGCAGCCGCGGUAAUACGGAGGGUGCGAGCGUUAAUCGGAAUUACUGGGCGUAAAGCGCGCGUAGGUGGCUUGAUAAGCCGGUUGUGAAAGCCCCGGGCUCAACCUGGGAACGGCAUCCGGAACUGUCAAGCUAGAGUGCAGGAGAGGAAGGUAGAAUUCCCGGUGUAGCGGUGAAAUGCGUAGAGAUCGGGAGGAAUACCAGUGGCGAAGGCGGCCUUCUGGACUGACACUGACACUGAGGUGCGAAAGCGUGGGUAGCAAACGGGAUUAGAUACCCCUGUAGUC
rnacentral:rRNA from 1 species